rnacentral:lncRNA from 1 species
UAGAACAAGAAUGUGUCCCCAGUACACGAAUGCCCCACUCGCACUAUCAUUUUUUAUGUUCAGUGGACCAUGAAAUUGGGGUAAACCCUCUAAUUUGGCAUUAACAUUAAAAAGAUCAUAUCAUAGGGAACAUGUAUACUAAGUUUGAAGUCGAUUGGACUUCAACUUCAUCAAAAACUACCUCGACCAAAAACUUUAACCUGAAGCGGGACAGACGGACAAACAAACGGACGGACGGACGAACGAACGGACAGACGGACGAACGAACGGACGGACGAACGGACGAACGGACGCACAGACCAGAAAACAUAAUGCCCCUCUACUAUCGUAGGUGGGGCAUAAAAAC